GGUCUCUCAGCUCUGCUUAACCACACGGGUCCAGUGUGUGCUUGGCGUGUUUUCAGGGAGGCAGAGAAAGGCUCUCCUAAUGCACGACAGACCCGCCCAGAAUGGCCUCUCUGUUCCUAGGAGUGUGACAAUU
rnacentral:snoRNA from 10 species